GCAAACUUGGUCAUUUAGAGGAAGUAAAAGUCGUAACAAGGUUUCCGUAGGUGAACCUGCGGAAGGAUCAUUAGAAAAAAGAUCGACCCGAAAUAUGGACGAUCAAAUCUCCAUAUCCACACCUUGUGUGCACUCAUUGACCGUUCACUUUGGCAGGAGGAGUCUUCAUCCUUCGAUCUGUUCCCCUCCCUCCCCCUCCGGGCCCCGGGGGAGAGAGGAUAAAAGAGGAUCGAAGCGAAGCGAGGUAUCUCUCUCAAGAGACACCUUGGCCUGCCAGAGUUUUUUUCCUUCAAAAAAACUUUUUGAACUUUUGGACUGAACAAUUUCAUUAAAAAAAUUUUUACAAAUACAACUUUCAACAACGGAUCUCUUGGCUCUCGCAUCGAUGAAGAACGCAGC
rnacentral:misc_RNA from 1 species